rnacentral:misc_RNA from 1 species
GUGGGAGACGAUGGGGCUAGACUGGUGACUUCGGAAUCCGUCUUGGCGUGCAUUUUACUGGUGUUUGUGAAAAUUUCCAACCGAAGCCCAAAAGCACAGCCACUAGUGUCUUAAAUCAGCUGUCAUACGCCUGAAUUGUUAAUUAAAAAGAUGAGAAAAUGAUUCUCUCAGAGGGGGUUAUGAAGUUUGGCUAGAGAGCGUUAGGGUGACUUUAUGAAAACGAGAGGGUUUGUUUGUC